rnacentral:rRNA from 1 species
UCAGACGAUGCGUCAUGCAUAUCAAUAAGCGGAGGAAAAGAAACUAACAAGGAUUCCCCUAGUAACGGCGAGUGAAGCGGGAAGAGCUCAAAUUUGAAAUCUUAAAGGGUUUCCCUUUACGAAUUGUAGUUUAAAGAAGUGUUUUCUGUUGAGGUUUUGGUAAAAGUUCUUUGGAAUAGGACAUCAUAGAGGGUGAGAAUCCCGUAUUUGACCUUUACUUUCAACUUUGUGAUACACUUUCAAAGAGUCGGAUUGUUUGGGAAUGCAGUCCAAAAUGGGUGGUAAAUUUCAUCUAAAGCUAAAUAUUGGCGAGAGACCGAUAGCGAACAAGUACCGUGAGGGAAAGAUGAAAAGAACUUUGAAAAGAGAGUUAAACAGUACGUGAAAUUGUCAAAAGGGAAGCGUUUGACACCAGUGUUGUUUUUCUGAAAAUCAAUUAAAGAACUGUUUAUGCUAAGUUGUUUAGACUUUAUCAGCUAACUGUUUAGUUUUGAGCUUUUCUUUAAUGCACUUUUCAGUUAACAAGUCAACAUCAAUUUCUUUUGCUGUAAAAAAGCUUGAGGAAGGUGGCUUGAGAUUCGUCUUAAGUGUUUAUAGCCUCUUGCCUAUGCAGUCGGAGAGAUUGAGGUCUGCAGCGUAGAUCCUUCGGGGCUAAAUGCAUUUGUGCUAAGUUAUAGCAUUUUAUAGACAACUUGUUGACUAUGAUUUGUCUCGUAGCUUACUCGCUUAUGUUAUUUUACCUACGCUUAGGAUGUUGACACACGCGCGUGCUCG